rnacentral:rRNA from 1 species
AGAUUAAGUUAUUAAGGGCGCACGGUGGAUGCCUUGGCACUAGAAGCCGAUGAAGGACGUUACUAACGACGAUAUGCUUUGGGUAGCUGUAAGUAAGCGUUGAUCCAGAGAUUUCCGAAUGGGGGAACCCAGCAUGAGUUAUGUCAUGUUAUCGACAUGUGAAUUCAUAGCAUGUCAGAAGGCA